rnacentral:rRNA from 1 species
GAUGAACGCUGGCGGCGUGCUUAACACAUGCAAGUCGAACGGUGAAGGCGGAGCUUGCUCUGCUGGAUCAGUGGCGAACGGGUGAGUAACACGUGAGCAAUCUGCCCCUGACUCUGGGAUAAGCGCUGGAAACAGCGUCUAAUACUGGAUACGAGCUGCGAAGGCAUCUUCAGCAGCUGGAAAGAACUUCGGUCAGGGAUGAGCUCGCGGCCUAUCAGCUUGUUGGUGAGGUAACGGCUCACCAAGGCGUCGACGGGUAGCCGGCCUGAGAGGGUGACCGGCCACACUGGGACUGAGACACGGCCCAGACUCCUACGGGAGGCAGCAGUGGGGAAUAUUGCACAAUGGGCGAAAGCCUGAUGCAGCAACGCCGCGUGAGGGACGACGGCCUUCGGGUUGUAAACCUCUUUUAGCAGGGAAGAAGCGAAAGUGACGGUACCUGCAGAAAAAGCGCCGGCUAACUACGUG